AAAUAUGUUACUACAUAGAACAAAAGAGACGAUGACAAGUUAUAAAAGAACAAUAAUCAAAAUACUAAACCGAAGAGAACGAUUGAAGACAUACCUAAGAGAAUAAUUGAACUCUAGAGAUUGAAAUGAAGUCCCCAUCUUUUCUUUUGAAUCGCUUCCAUUUCAUGGCUUCUCUCUGCAUACAUAUGUUCUGUUUUCAGGGCCUAGAAAUGAUGAUUUCAGUGGAUAUAAAGUAGUUUGACAAGACAAUACCGAACAUUACGAAAAUUCAAUAAACGAAUAACUAAUAUUUAAUAGAGAUUUUUUUUUAGGAUAAAGAAGAAUGACAACUUACAAGUAGUAUGCAGAGGCUUAUUGAUCGCAUUAUUUAGAGAUGUUAUUUUAUUUUCAAACGACUCUUGCUUUGACUCUGCUUAGAGGUUCCAGAAAAUGAAUGUAUAAACCUCAGGAUAUAAACUUCUUGACCCAUUUAAUCGGUUCAAGAAGAGUUUAAAUAAUAGUACCUUAAUUGAUGAAAACUCUCUUCUCUUGUUCUAAUUUUGUAAGCUAAUCCCCUGUGGAAAAUACAUAUUUAUUAACUAAAUUUGAGACGAGAAUAUAUGGAGAUCGGAUUAGAUUAGGGACAAGACGAUUAUACUUCACCUAAAAAGCAAAUUUGAUUGCCCCUCACUGUUUAACACGUUUUACCAAGUUUGUCGUCACCAUGACUGUCUGCAGUGGGAAAAAACACCUGAAACUGCAUACCUGGUCAUGAACUUGAUGAUACUCUCUUCUAUAGUUCCCCUGUUGCAAAUACACAUUUAUUAACUAAAUUCAGAGACACAAAAAAAAGUACUCACCCAAUUAGAUUAGAAACUAUAGGAGUUAUGUAUAAGUAAAUAGAAUAUAGAGAUCAUUAUGUAAAUACUUUUACCCUAUGUCUCCACUGUAGUAUAUAUACUCUUGUAAUUCAUCAUUCAUUUAAUAAGAAAUAUUCAGAACCUAUAGAAACAAGAGCAUUAAAUUUACAAUUACAAUACCUUUCAUUCAUAUUUUCUUUUUACUAAAUCAUGUCAUUCUCUGUUGCAUAAUGAUGCAUUGGUUCCCAAACCAUGAACACUUGCCAACGAAAUUCAACAGAAACAACAUAAGUUCACCAUCAUAUAUUAGCACAUAGAAUUUGACAUAGUUCAGGAGAGAUAGAGACGAAAUUUCUAAAAAUAGUUUUCAUAAUCCUCUACUGCAUAAGAAGAAAAGGGACGCAUAAGAAGAAAAGGGACGCAUAAGUAGAAAAACAAAAGAUUGAAGACACAUACUUGGGAGUAGGAUUCAACUUAAGAAACAAGAAGAUGACGAACAUCCAUUUAAGAGCUCCAUUGCAAUAGACCUGAAACAAGCAUAACGGUGUCUAAGAGGUACGCAAUAUUAUAAGAUAAACCAUAUAAUGGUGUCUAAGACCAUAAUAAACCAUCCCCACUUAUAGGCCCGAAUAUGUAUUUAUUUGAUUUACCAUGCAAAACUUGGAUGUUGUUCCAAAACUUUGUUUCUUGCUCCUCUUUUUUGGCUUUUCUUUAGAAAUUCAUCCUUCAUAUUUCUUAGCUACGGAUUGCUGUACUUUAAGCUGCAAAACAGUAUGCAAAUGAAAUAGUAUACCAUCAGUUAAUAAUAUACCAUCAGUUAUUAUCCUAUGCGUUAGAAAUAAUCAAGAUAGCAGUUAAAUGACAACUUACAAGUGGAGCUCGUGGCUACUUGUUCGUCAUGUUUUACUCCAAGAUGAAACUUCUGCCACUGCUUACAGAUUCUAGAAAAUGAAUGAUAAGUUUAACUACAAACAACAUUGUAAUUGGCAGAAAGAUGUUAGCUAACUUGUGGUUGAUCACGCAAGAAUGUAAAUAGUCAUUCAUUUUAAACUAUAACAUAGAAAAAAGGAAAAAGGGUCAUGUUCAUAAUAUUCAAAGUCUUGAAACACUUACUUUUCUGUUGAGUAAGUCUUACCAUCUUACUUACAAUGGUCUCAUAACGGUUUGUUGGCUUACUUAGUUUUUCCUUUGGUCCUGUCGUAUAUAGAGCCUCUCCUUGUCCUCCUCAAAUUUGGAAGAUAGUGUCUGCAAGUAGUAACUCAUGUUCAACAGUUAUAUUAAUAUCCAACUUAACUGAUCUUAAGGGUGAGAGUCGACAGAAAAAGGGCAGUCGAAAGAAUACCUUCUAAACCUUUUAGAUGAUCAUGUCAGCUCCUUCUAAACUUUGUAAUUCAUGAAUUUGUAAUGAAGCUCCUCAAACUUGACAGCUUUAUCCUUCAAGAUAUUAUCAGACUGCAAAUAUGGAUCAUGUCAGUGUCAGAGAAUGUUGACAUAGUUCAGGAGAGAUAUAGACGAAAUUGAUAAGAAUGAUCAGUUUUCAUAAUACUUUACUGCAUAAGUAGAAAAACAAAAGAUUGAAGAAGCAUACUUGGGAGAAGGAAUUAACUUAAGAAACAAGAAGAUGACGAACAUCCAUUUUAGAGUUCUAUAGCAAUAGACCUGAAACAAGCAUAACGGUGUAAUUAAAUAUAAUUCAUCAUUCAUUCUAAAGUAUAACACAGAAGAAAAUAAAAGGGUCAUGGUCAUAAUAUGAAAAGUCUUGAAACACAAUGCUGUGUAAGUUGAGUAAGUGUUGCCAUCUUACUAACAGUGGUCUCAUAACGGGUAGUUGGCUUACUUAGUUGCUCAUAUAGAGCCUCUCCUUGUCCUCCUCAAACUUGGAAGAUAGUGUCUGCAAGUAGUAACUCAAGUUCAACAGUUUUGGUAAUAUCCAACUUAACUGAUCUAAGGGUGAGAGAUGUUAAAAAAAAGGGCAGUCGAAAGAAUACCUUUUGAACACUGUAGAUGAUCAUGUCAGUUCCUUUUAAACUUUGUAAUUCAUGAAUUUGUGAUGAAGCUCCUCAAUCUUGACAGCUUCAUCCUUCAAGAUAUUCUCAGACUGCAAAUAUGGAUCAUGUCAGCUCUUUGUACCUUUCUAAAGACUAAAAGUUUAAAGUAUAAUAUUGGGAGUUUUUGUACAGACCUCUUUGCAACUCUCUAAAAGUGCUUUGCCAAAUUUUUGUUUGCAGGCAAGGGCAGAAUUAACUUGCACGCUUCAAUAUAUAUGUUAUCUGACUUCACCACAGUGGACAAACUGCCGGAAAAGAAUUCAAGUAUUAAAAGAAGAUUCAGGCAUUCAGCUAUCAAACUAACGGUACUUAGAGACAUUAUAGAAUUUGUAUCAUCUUCUUGGGAAGAAGACUAAAAAUAUGAAGAUCAAGAGUAGAAAUAUUCUCUCUGUGGAACAAUUAAUGAUACCAUUAGAUACCAAAAGUUAAGAUAUAAAUCAACUGAGUAGAGUUGAGAAACAAAAUACUAAAUAACAAAAUGUUCUGUAUCUAUGAAAUCAAACGAGAUUCAUAUAAAGAAUACCUUAAUUUUUCGAUUCAAGCAAGCAAGUUAGAAAGUAAGGAAGUCAAACAAAAAUUAGAGGAGAAAAAAAAGAAAUUAAGCAAAGAAACAAGGAAGCAAGAAGGUCAUUAAGGAAUUAAGAAAGAAUAUACUGAAGCAAGCAAGCAAGUAAGCGAGGAGAGUUAAUCAAGUAAGUAAUAAUGAAGGCAGAACAAAAGUAAGCAAAGAAUCAGUGAAGCAAAUAAGUGAAAAGAAACAGAGAAGCAAUUAUGUACGUGUAUAAGGAAGUAUGAAAGUAUAGAGAUUUGUGUCUGCAUAGAUAAAAGUAUCUAUGAAGCAAGCAAAUAAGUAAGUAAUUAAGGCAGAAAAACAAGUAAGCAAAGAAUCAAGUAAGCAAUUACUUAUGAAAGUAUACACAUUUGUGUCUGCAUUAAUAAAAGUAUGUAUGAAUGUAUGCAUGUAUGUAUGAAUGUGUGCAUGAAUGUAUGCAUGAAUGUAUGAAUGCAUCCAUGAAUN
rnacentral:lncRNA from 1 species